rnacentral:rRNA from 1 species
AACGAACGCUGGCGGCAUGCCUAACACAUGCAAGUCGAACGAGACCUUCGGGUCGAGUGGCGCACGGGUGAGUAACGCGUUGGAAUCUACGCUUGGGCUCGGUAUAACAGUUAGAAAUGACUGCUAAUACAGGAUGAUGACGUAAGUCCAUAGAUUAAUCGUCCAAGGAUGAGCCCGCGUAAGAUUAGCUUGCUGGUGUGGUAAUGGCAUACCAGGGCUACGAUCUUUGGCUGGUUUGAGAGGAUGAUCCGCCAAACUGGGACUGAGACGGGGCCCACACACCUAGGUGGGCGAGCAGUAGGGAAUAUUGGACAAGGGGAGAACGCCUGAUCCAGCAAUCCCGCGUUAGAGAUAAAGGUCUUAGGGUUAUAAAGCUCUUUUACCAGGGAAGAUAUUGACAGUACCUGAAGAAUAAGCUCCGGCUAACUCCGUGCCAGCAGCCGCCGUAA